UUAGUUUUUAGAGUUAAUUUCAUACAAUUACCUGUAAAUAUAGUGAAUUAUAAAUUAAGUUCAACUUUUAUAUAUUAUUCCUACAAAAGUCUUGAUAUAUGUUCCUAUCGUUAGAAUCUGUUAGAAGAAUUUAGUAAACCAUAGAUUAAAUACUUAACUCGGGUAGUUUUUAAUACUUUUACUCCUCUUAUAUUAUACUGGUACGGUUUUUGGAGGGACAUAUAUGUGAUGGCAAAAUAAAAAAAUAUAAACAUAUUUCUAACGGUUCUCACACGGUACCAAACAAGAGGGACAUAUUUAAAAGCAUCAAGAAUUUUAUAAGAACAACAUAUGAAAGUUGAACUUUGUAAAAAUAUAUUUGUUAUUCACUAUGUUUCUAGGGGACCUGUAUGAAAUUAACCCCCUAGUUUUUAGUAUACU
rnacentral:lncRNA from 1 species